rnacentral:tRNA from 1 species
GGUCGUGUGGUCUAGUUGGUCAUGACAUCUGCUUCACACGCAGGAGAUCCUCGGUUCAAGCCUGGGCGAGAUCA